AUGUCUGGCGGCAAUCCUGCAGGUGUGGAUAACACUUUCCGUAGGAAAUUUGACAAGGAGGAGUACUUGGAGCGAGCUCGACAGAGAGAGCGGGAUGAGAAGGAUGAAGCCCGGAGAGGCAAGGACAGGGGCCCUCCUGUGCAAAGACAGCCUUUGAAGCAUAGGGAUUAUGAAGUUGAUCUUGAGUCUCGUCUUGGUAAAACCCAGGUGGUAACCCCAAUCGCACCUUUGAGUCAGCAGGCUGGAUACUACUGUUCAGUAUGUGAGUGUGUUGUUAAAGAUUCAGCCAACUAUUUGGAUCAUAUAAAUGGCAAGAAGCAUCAGAGAGCAUUGGGCAUGUCUAUGCGUGUUGAAAGGGCGUCACUCGAACAGGUUCAAAAACGGUUUGAGGCACUUAAGAAGAGGAAGGACCCAGCCAGCUUCAGUGAACAAGAUUUGGAUGAGAGAAUAUGGAAGCAGCAGCAAGAGGAGGAGGAGAAGAAGCGUCAACGCAGAGAAAAGAAGAAAGAAAAGAAGAAAGAGCAGGCUGGCCAGAAUGAACCUGAGGACAUUGACCCUGAUGUUGCUGCUAUGAUGGGCUUCGGCGGGUUCGGCACCUCUUCAAAGAAGUGA
rnacentral:rRNA from 1 species